rnacentral:rRNA from 1 species
GAUUAUGGCUCAGGAUGAACGCUGGCGGCGUGCCUAACACAUGCAAGUCGAGCGAUUCUCUUCGGAGAAGAGCGGCGGACGGGUGAGUAACGCGUGGGUAACCUGCCUCAUACACAUGGAUAACAUACCGAAAGGUAUGCUAAUACAGGAUAAUAUAAGAGAUUCACAUGGAUUUCUUAUCAAAGCUCCGGCGGUAUGAGAUGGACCCGCGUCUGAUUAGCUAGUUGGUAAGGUAACGGCUUACCAAGGCGACGAUCAGUAGCCGACCUGAGAGGGUGAUCGGCCACAUUGGAACUGAGACACGGUCCAAACUCCUACGGGAGGCAGCAGUGGGGAAUAUUGCACAAUGGGCGAAAGCCUGAUGCAGCAACGCCGCGUGAGUGAUGAAGGCCUUCGGGUCGUAAAACUCUGUCCUCAAGGAAGAUAAUGACGGUACUUGAGGAGGAAGCCCCGGCUAACUACGUGCCAGCCGCCGC